CUGAGGUGAGUUAGACAAAGAGCCAAAUCUCAUCGAGGCGGGUACGAUCACUGGGAGAGAGGGAACUCGCAUGUUCUCUCUUUGUUGCUCCUGCUAUUGGAAAGAAGUGUAGUAAAACUCGACAGAGAAAAAUUUAAGUCUGGAUGAGGCUUAUAUUACGGAGUAUGCUACUCUUGGUCUUUACUCUUUAUGAGCAGAAUGGUAUUGUAUAGGAAGUAUAUAUGAGACAGAGAGUACACCAGCCAUCGGCCAACUGAAAUGUUUUUUUAUUUUAAAUAAACAAACUCAAGAGUUAUAAUGGAAUUUUGAAAAUUUUCUGUAUCUAGUUUAUGAAGAAGAAAUGUUUCAGAAAGUUUUUACAAAUCAAGAUUAUACACCGUGGCAUAGCAGGAGGUAUUACAGAGCUCAAAUAGCUUUCGUCAAAAUUUAUUAUAAAAAUACCACGAGCAACGUAACGAGGAGGGUUUAAGAUUAUAUUUUAUGGAUAAAAAGAGAAAAAUGGCGAGAAGAAGCUAAAUAAUUAUAUGUUUUGACGUCAUUAAUAAUGACCACAUUCCUCAUGGUUAUGACUGGACUUGGACUGAGGACUUGCCACGGUUGCAGUUCGUUAAAUAAUUAAUUGUGAUGCGUCAUUAAUUUUCUAAGAAACCUUUAAAUUUUAUGACGUUGAUUCAACGGCGCGGAUUUUUAAGUACUUUUUGGGGCAGAUUACUGGU